rnacentral:rRNA from 1 species
UGGAAGUAAAAAGUUGUAACAAGGUCUCUCGUUGGUGAAACAGCGGAGGGAUCAUUAAAAGAUAUAUUUAUCUCUCAAUGACAUGUUGAUAAUGAAGUAUGACAUGUGUCUCAAGACUUUUGGUACACAUUUGUUUUUCUUUUUAUGAUUUUUGAUUCUUUUUAACAUUGCAAUACUUUCAACAACGGAUCUCUAGGUUCUGGUAUCGAUGAAGAACGCAGCAAAAUGCGAUAAGUAAUGUGAAUUGCAGAGCCCUGUGAAUCAUCCAAUUUUUGAACGCAUAUUGCGCCUAUGAGUAUUCUUAUAGGCAUGCCUGUUCGAGUGUUAAUAAAAGAUCCGAUGUGGAGAUGAGGCAUAGGUAUAUUCUAUCUAGCCUUUAAAAUAAAGAUUAGCAAAGAAAAAAUAAAAUAUGAUGUAAUAAAAACUCAUCUCAUUGUUAUUAUUUUCUUUUUGUUUCAUGAUUUUUAACCUCGUAUCAGGUAGGAGUACCCGCUGAACCUUAAGCAUAUCA